CUCUCACUCGGCGUUCCUUGACUUUUUGGUCUGGCUCGCUUUUUGUUUUGAGCCAGGUGCACCACAGAUAAUACAAAACCUUGUAAGAGCCUGGAAAUUACAGAGUUGAUGACAGGGGAAACGACUUCUCUCUGAAGAUGAAAUCUAAACUGAACUACCUUUCCAGGUGAUCUGGCAAAUGAUCAAAUGCCUUCCUGGAUCAAGCCUUUUCUUCCUUUUCCAUCUCUUACUGAUUCAUCCCAGUUUAGUUAGUAAAUGAGUCUAAGUUUAUUUUCAACAUCCAAAUUCUUCCAAUUCUUUGUUCUUUGCAAUGCUCCAGUUUAGUGCUUCUGUAUUAUCUUAAUGCAACUGAGUGCUUCUGUAUGAUCCUAAUCUUUACUCACGUUUAUGACCCAUAGGCUGGUCUCAGGAAUAAUAUCAGCUACUUAGAUGUUUAUGUGAUGUUAGAUCAUAAAUGCUUGCAUUUUAAACAUACUAAUCCUUGAAUUAGGGAAUAAUAAGCAGGGUUUUGGAAACGACCUAGCAAGUAGAGGAGAAUUUUGA